rnacentral:lncRNA from 1 species
UCCUUGAGGCUGAAUGUGAACAUAACAUCCAAAGAUGCUCCCCCUGGAAAACAAAAAGACGCUGCUAAGAACAAGAGGAGGAAAAUGAGGAGAGAGGAAACUCAUGUUUACUGACGACUCACAAUGUUGCAGGCACCACAUCAAGAACUUUAUAGACAAUUUUCGUUGUCAUAGAAGUCUCACCAAAAACCCCAAAACCAAAACAAAAAUCCCUUCUUCAGAAGAGUAUGAACAUACAAACUUGGAGUCUCUGUAGAGAACGCAAGACUUCCCUCAGCCACAUGUGCUCAGCUCCACCCCCAUUAUCCUCUAAACAUAAAGGGGUUUUUAAAAGGAAACUAAGAAACACUGUCAGAAAUGUACUUAAAAUGAUAUCACCUUUCCAUAUUUCUAGUUCUUGGUUCCUUAUUUAUCCAACGUAAGAUCGUGUAAACUUUCAGAAAGUUCAGAGUCCUUUUCCCCCCAUCCAUUCUACAUUUAACUUGUCGAUUCACUGCAGUCCAAAGUGCUGAGCAGGGAGGGGGGGAGCCCCAUCGUUAUAAUAUGUACAGAAAAAUGUUAUUUGAACAUCACCAAUGAGUAUGAGAAUUAUGUUUACUUUAAUAAAAGAGGUUUUACUUGUUUAUCCAACAUGCACAGACUUUCUAAGAAAACAUUCUGGCGGAGGCAGCCCAACUUGGAGAGCAGCAGGUUGAUGAACAAGCCCUUCCAAGUGCUCUCCCCUCUGUGUCUCAGGAGGACGCUGCUCUCUGACAUCCUAACAUAGUCACAGGAAGCUGACUUUCUAUCUUUAACUUUUCAUUGUUAGCCGACCCAGUGUGUUUGGUGUUCCAACUAUUUUGCCUAAUAGGUAAAAUCUGCAUCUGUUAGGGCAGCGGUUCUCUUAUGCCCCCAAAUGAAAUCUUAGGUGAAAACCUAACACAGGCACAAGAUGAAAGCAGAGCAGCCUCGCUGAUGUGGUGGGCUAGAGGAUACAAAGCCCUCCAGAAUAGGGCCUGCUGACUCAUCUCAUCCCUCAGUGUGGCUAUGAGGCAACACUGCCAAACCCUCAGGGCUCUAUUUUAUCUUUUCUUAGACCUUGAUGGUUUUUUUAAAUUUACACUUUAUCACUUUAUUUUAUGCAUGCCUUUGUGUCUCAAAGUUGAACAUAUAUAAAAAUUGUUAAAAGCCAUGUCAGAUCCUAUUUCAAGCGCUACUUACUACAUUAAAUUUAGGAAUUCUGUUACAUAUUUGACUCCUGUGGAUCCUAACAGAAAAAUUACAAUCUCUAUUUGUAUCUUUAGCAACAAUACUCUGAGCAUAUUUGCAAGUUCAAGAUCAUUUUAUAAACAUAAAAUUGUGUCGAUAAUGUAUCUUAAAUGAAGGAGAACAUCUUUGAUGUACAAGACCCCUCACCAUGAUUUCACUUCUACCAGUAGCCUUUAGCUUACUACCUGUGGUACAGUAAGUUUCAGAUGAUAUACUAAAACUCAAGCAAAAAAUAUUACCAUGAGAUUAAAAAUGAGAAAUGAAUUUAAAGUGUUGUUAGGUAACCAUUAUCUUAAGAGGUAUAAUACCAGAUUAGCAGAGAGAACAAAGCCUGAAAUGACUUCCUGAGGACCCAAUACUUCCAAAAUUCUAAUAGGAAAAUGUAAGAGCCUUUUCCUUUUAAACAUUUUCUAACUGCAAUUUCCCAGGCUUUAAAAAGUUAAUGUGUUUCUUCAGCCAAAGCCAUCACAUUUCAAGUGUACACGUGAGAAAGUGGCCAGAGUGAAGGGGUUGACCUGAGUCACGUGGGACCAAGAACUUGAAUCAGGGAAAAGUCCCAACGUUCAGCAUUCAACGGUCCCUCAGAAUAAACACAGUGUUGAAAAGUAGUGAACUUUAUGUAUAAGAGAGUGUCCUAAACACAUACACGGAAGUGAUAAAAAUGAUCUGUUAUUUCAAAACCCAUGCUUAAACAUAUUCUUAUUUUCAGAAUACUCCAAAUUUUCCUAUGAUUUCCAUUUUAAUUUAUUAUCAAAAGUAAUUAUGGAAGCCACUCUACUAGCAUUACUCUAGUUGUACUUAGAUGAUUUUAAGAUAGUCAAUCUUUUUCCAUGAACAGAAGCAUGGUGAAGAGAAAUAGUCCUCAAAUACCUGGUUAUGUUCCCAAAAUGUACUUAUGUUGAUGGGUUAGAACUGGUGCCGCUUUUCCCUUAGGGAUGAUGAUGCUCGUGAGACUCAGUACUCAGAGGUCAUUGCACGAAAACUUAUUUCACUCAUAACGGAUCUAUGAUACAAUAUUAUAUAUCUGAAGCGAAAAGUAUAUUGUAACUGUGCUGUAAUACUAAUAAUUACAUAAGGAACAAAAUAAACUAGGCAUGAUUUUUAUUUUUCUAUAUGCACAUGUGUAAGACAGUAUAAUGAGAGGAGGAUAAACCAGAAUAAAACACUUAAGAGAUUUGAAAGUUGAUGACGCUGGCUGUUAUGCUUUAUUUUACCUCCGAAUAUACUGUGUUCUUUUCUUUUAAUAAUAAUUAUAGCUACUCUUGACUUAUCAGCUAUGACCAGCACCACUGGGGGCUCUCCA